rnacentral:rRNA from 1 species
GGUGGCGACCGGCGCACGGGUGAGUAACACGUAUCCAACCUGCCGAUGACUCGGGGAUAGCCUUUCGAAAGAAAGAUUAAUACCCGAUGGCAUAGUUCUUCCGCAUGGUGGAACUAUUAAAGAAUUUCGGUCAUCGAUGGGGAUGCGUUCCAUUAGGUUGUUGGCGGGGUAACGGCCCACCAAGCCUUCGAUGGAUAGGGGUUCUGAGAGGAAGGUCCCCCACAUUGGAACUGAGACACGGUCCAAACUCCUACGGGAGGCAGCAUG